rnacentral:rRNA from 1 species
UGAACGCUGGCGGCGUGCCUAAUACAUGCAAGUCGAGCGAACGGACGAGAAGCUUGCUUCUCUGAUGUUAGCGGCGGACGGGUGAGUAACACGUGGAUAACCUACCUAUAAGACUGGGAUAACUUCGGGAAACCGUAGCUAAUACCGGAUAAUAUUUUGAACCGCAUGGUUCAAAAGUGAAAGACGGUCUUGCUGUCACUUAUAGAUGGAUCCGCGCUGCAUUAGCUAGUUGGUAAGGUAACGGCUUACCAAGGCAACGAUGCAUAGCCGACCUGAGAGGGUGAUCGGCCACAAUGGAACUGAGACACGGUCCAGACUCCUACGGGAGGCAGCAGUAGGGAAUCUUCCGCAAUGGGCGAAAGCCUGACGGAGCAACGCCGCGUGAGUGAUGAAGGUCUUCGGAUCGUAAAACUCUGUUAUUAGGGAAGAACAUAUGUGUAAGUAACUGUGCACAUCUUGACGGUACCUAAUCAGAAAGCCACGGCUAACUACGUG